rnacentral:rRNA from 1 species
GACAGAGGGUGCAAACGUUGUUCGGAAUUACUGGGCGUAAAGCGCGUGUAGGCGGUCUCGCAAGUCGGAUGUGAAAGCCCAGGGCUCAACCCUGGAAGUGCACUCGAUACUGCGAGGCUAGAGUCCCGGAGAGGAUGGUGGAACUCUCGGUGUAGCGGUGAAAUGUGUAGAGAUCGGGAGGAACACCGGUGGCGAAGGCGGCAUCCUGGACCGGCAUUGACGCUGAGGCGCGAAAGCCAGGGGAGCAAACGGG